rnacentral:lncRNA from 1 species
CUGUGUGAGCUCCUUUGGGGCCGGGCAUUUAACUUGGAUAAGUCCUGUGAGAGCCCUUCUAGGGUCGGGCACCAUGAGUAGAUUAGUGAAAGACCUGUGUGAGCUCCUUUGGGGGCCGGGCACCGACAGAGGGAGUUUUGGGGUCAUGUCCAAUCUGAGGUGUGAAAUGUUUGUGCUGUGACGCAUUUCAUGAUAGCAU